rnacentral:misc_RNA from 1 species
CACGAAGAGGCCUCCAUCGGUCUUUCAACCUUGCCUAUCGUACCCUUUUUGUUGUUCCCUCGGCGGGGUAAAGCCCGCCGGCGGGAAGCUCGAAAAACCCUUUGCAAUCAGCAUCCAAAAACUCUGACUACAAAACCUUAAAUCGUUA